CUCCCCAUAGCUCAAUUGGAUAGAGCGUCACCCUGCGGAGGUGAAGGUCACAGGUUCGACUCCUGUUGGGGAGACCA
rnacentral:tRNA from 1 species